GAAAAAGCGAUGAAAAGAAGAGUAAGCGCGCUUAAGCAUAACAGAGAACUCCAGUAGCUGAGAAUGGAGGAUGUAAUAGCCCGCCGAACCAAGUCUCGGAGCUUCGUAUAGGAUAUUUCAUCUGAUAUUGAUUAUGCGUCGGUUUCUCCCGUUAAAGAGAUAGAGUAUAACCAGGCCUUGUCCUGCGUACUCGAAAAGAUUUCUGUGGCGACACAGGAAUAAACUGGGGUGGCACCGCGAACUACUAAAUUCCAAAAGUCUCGUCCCCAAG
rnacentral:ncRNA from 1 species